AUACGUAGGUGGCGAGCGUUGUCCGGAAUUACUGGGCGUAAAGGGCGCGUAGGCGGCUUUUUAAGUCAGAUGUGAAAACCCGGGGCUUAACUUCGGGAGUGCAUUUGAAACUGGAGGGCUUGAGUGCAGGAGAGGUAAGUGGAAUUCCUAGUGUAGCGGUGAAAUGCGUAGAUAUUAGGAGGAACACCAGUGGCGAAGGCGACUUACUGGACUGUAACUGACGCUGAGGCGCGAAAGCGUGGGGAGCAAACAGGAUUAGAUACCCUGGUAGUCCACGCUGUAAACGAUGGAUACUAGGUGUGGGAGGUAUCGACCCCUUCCGUGCCGCAGUAAACGCAAUAAGUAUCCCGCCUGGGGAGUACGGCCGCAAGGUUGAA
rnacentral:rRNA from 1 species